UACGUAGGGUGCAAGCGUUGUCCGGAAUUAUUGGGCGUAAAGAGCUCGUAGGCGGUUUGUCGCGUCUGCUGUGAAAACCCGAGGCUCAACCUCGGGCCUGCAGUGGGUACGGGCAGACUAGAGUGCGGUAGGGGAGAUUGGAAUUCCUGGUGUAGCGGUGGAAUGCGCAGAUAUCAGGAGGAACACCAAUGGCGAAGGCAGACUCUGGGCCGUAACU
rnacentral:rRNA from 1 species